rnacentral:rRNA from 1 species
UCAGGCCUAACACAUGCAAGUCGAACGAAGUAGCAAUACUUAGUGGCAGACGGGUGAGUAACAUGUAGGUAUCUGCCCUUUGGCCUGGAAUAACACGAGGAAACUUGUGCUAAUACCGGAUAAGUCUUUACGGAGAAAGCUUUAUGCACCAUUGGAUGAGCCUGCACUUGAUUAGUUUGUUGGUGGGGUAAUGGCCUACCAAGACUGUGAUCAAUAGCUGAUUUGAGAGGAUGAUCAGCCACAUUGGGACUGAGACACGGCCCAAACUCCUACGGGAGGCAGCAGUGGGGAAUCUUGCACAAUGGAGGAAACUCUGAUGCAGCGAUGCCGCGUGAGUGAAGAAGGCCCUUGGGUUGUAAAGCUCUUUCGUCGGGGAAGAAAAUGACUGUACCCGAAUAAGAAGGUCCGGCUAACUUCGUGCCAGCAGCCGCGGUAAUACGAAGGGACCUAGCGUAGUUCGGAAUUACUGGGCUUAAAGAGUUCGUAGGUGGUUGAAAAAGUUGGUGGUGAAAUCCCAGAGCUUAACUCUGGAACUGCCAUCAAAACUUUUUAGCUAGAGUAUGAUAGAGGAAAGCAGAAUUUCUAGUGUAGAGGUGAAAUUCGUAGAUAUUAGAAAGAAUACCAAUUGCGAAGGCAGCUUUCUGGAUCAUUACUGACACUGAGGAACGAAAGCAUGGGUAGCGAAGAGGAUUAGAUACCC